UACAGAGGUCUCAAGCGUUGUUCGGAUUCAUUGGGCGUAAAGGGUGUGUAGGUGGCGCGCUAAGUCGGGUGUGAAAUUUCGGAGCUUAACUCCGAAACUGCAUUCGAUACUGGCGUGCUUGAGGACUGGAGAGGAGACUGGAAUUCAUGGUGUAGCAGUGAAAUGCGCAGAUAUCGGGAGGAACACCAAUUGCGAAGGCAGCUCGCUGGGACGUUACUGACGCUGAGACGCGAAAGCGUGGGGAGCAAACAGG
rnacentral:rRNA from 1 species